rnacentral:rRNA from 1 species
UACGUAGGGUCCGAGCGUUGUCCGGAAUUAUUGGGCGUAAAGGGCUCGUAGGCGGUUUGUCGCGUCGGGAGUGAAAACACGGGGCUUAACCCCGUGCCUGCUUCCGAUACGGGCAGACUAGAGGUAUGCAGGGGAGAACGGAAUUCCUGGUGUAGCGGUGAAAUGCGCAGAUAUCAGGAGGAACACCGGUGGCGAAGGCGGCUCACUGGACCGGAACUGACGCUGAGGCGCGAAAGCGUGGGGAGCAAACAGG